CCCGUGCCGGGGUUGGGCUGCGCGGCGGGCGCUCGCGGGCUCUGCGCGAUUGGAAUAUGGUUGGGGAAAUGGAAACCAAGGAGAAGCCGAAGCCGAGCCCCGAUUAUCUGAUGCAGCUGAUGAACGACAAGAAGCUGAUGAGCAGCCUCCCUAACUUCUGCGGGAUCUUCAACCACCUCGAGCGGCUGCUGGACGAAGAAAUUAGCAGAGUACGAAAAGACAUGUAUAACGACACAUUAAAUGGAAGUACGGAAAAGAGAAGUGCAGAAUUACCAGAUGCUGUGGGACCUAUUGUACAGUUACAAGAGAAACUAUAUGUGCCUGUAAAAGAAUAUCCAGAUUUUAAUUUUGUGGGAAGAAUCCUUGGUCCCAGAGGACUAACAGCUAAACAGCUAGAAGCAGAAACUGGAUGCAAAAUAAUGGUCCGAGGAAAGGGCUCAAUGAGGGACAAAAAGAAGGUCUCCUUUAAGAGCAGAGGCAACCUUGAUCCAGCAGUUUUGGAGGUAGAGGAGGAACAAAACAGAGGCAAACCUAACUGGGAACACCUGAAUGAAGAUUUACAUGUACUAAUCACUGUGGAAGAUGCUCAAAACAGAGCAGAAAUCAAAUUGAAGAGGGCUGUUGAAGAAGUGAAAAAGUUACUCGUACCUGCAGCAGAAGGAGAAGACAGCCUUAAAAAGAUGCAACUAAUGGAACUUGCAAUUCUGAAUGGCACCUACAGAGACGCCAACAUCAAAUCACCAGCCCUUGCCUUUUCUCUUGCAGCGACAGCCCAGGCUCCAAGGAUUAUUACUGGGCCUGCGCCUGUUCUCCCACCAGCUGCCCUGCGUACUCCUACGCCAGCUGGCCCUACCAUAAUGCCUUUGAUCAGACAGAUACAGACCGCUGUCAUGCCAAACGGAACUCCUCAUCCAACUGCUGCAAUAGUUCCUCCAGGACCUGAAGCUGGUUUAAUUUACACACCCUAUGAGUAUCCCUAUACACUGGCACCAGCGACAUCAAUUCUUGAGUAUCCCAUUGAACCUAGUGGUGUAUUAGGUAUGGCUUUCCCAACGAAAGGCUAAGAAUUCAAGAACGGUCUUAACUGAACCCUCAUCAGAUCUGAAUUUAACAAAUGCUUAGUUUCAGCAGUCUUGAAAAAAUAGCCUAGCAGUCAGUGACUUACUUGCACUUUUUUUGCACAUAGAUAUAAAAUAAAAUAGUGCUAUUAAUUUGGUUUAGUCUCUAUUAUUACCAAAGUAGCUAUAAUUUAUGAGUGUAUAGUAGUAUACUGACUGCUAAGAGUUCUAUACUGUUUGCUUUACUAAUCACCUAAUUCAUUGCAGUUCAUACUUUAUUGACUUUAAAUUUAAAACCACAUCUGUAGGCAUGAAGAAUUGCUUUCAAACUUUUUCUAAUGGUAGAAACUGGAAGUGGUCGUAACGGUAGCAAAUUGUCAGUAUUAAAAAUGGCAUUAUUUGAAGUAGUGCUGCUGCAAAAAAAGGCACUUCAUUGAAUAUGUGACUAGUAAAGCUUAAAUAUUCUUGGAUCUAAUAGAUUUCAUGAAAUACUGUAAUUUUGGGAUUGCAAAUGAGUGGAUUAAAGAGAUAAGGCCAGGAUGUUUGAUAUAAAUGCAAUAUUAAUCUGCACAGAUAUAAUUCAUAUAUUAAGGUUAAGAUUUGAAACUACUGUGCCUUAACUAGUUGCUUUCUUAAAAUGAAUUUUUGUAGUAAAUGAUCACUUAAAUCCAUUUUGCUAAACCUGCUGUUAAUGUUUACCUUUGAAUGUUUUCUAACUUUGUCUUGGUAAUUGCAAUUUAACUAGGUGCGGUGGCUACUAAAGUUCGAAGGCACGAUAUGCGUGUCCAUCCUUACCAAAGGAUUGUGACCGCAGACCGAGAGCAGAAGGGGGGCACAACAGGACUUGGGAUGGAGUUUGCUGGCUGCUUUUUGGGAGUGGUGCGGGGCCAGGACAGGGGCAAGCCUGCCUUAGCCCCACUGCACCACCACCCAGGAGCCACCUGAGCCGCCACCGGCAACUAACCUAUGACCUUCUGACCUCUGAACUCUUCACCCAAUGAUGACCUGACCAUGCCUGCCUGCUGAUCAGUUAACUGGUAAUCGCCUUUGCUUGCCUGUCUUCAGUGCAGCGAGCUGAGGCACUUGUCCGUUCGUCUUACCAUCUAACAAAAAAGACAAAGAAAUUGUCCUCCAACUCAGCUUUUUUUUCCUGUUUGGGUGAAAGUGGUUCUAGAACCUGCACUGAAUAGUAGUAAAGCAAUAAGGUCCAAUUCAUCCCUCAGCACUGAUCGUCCUUUAGUAUCCCACCCUAAACGAACGGUAAGAAGGCCUCACUUAAGUGAUGGAGACAGAUGUCCCUUAACUACCCAAUGACAGAGGCAGUUACUGUGAGCGACUUCUAGGAAUCUUUUUCUUCUCAUAAUGAAGUCAAAGCUCUCUUUGAAUGUACUGUGUGAUGAUGCAUCAUGCAUGAACCUUUGGUCAGGGAUGUCAUUGGUGAAGGGAUUCCAAAAAGUAUUCAAAAUUUGACUUGCUGUUUAGUCACUACCAGUGCCGUCAAAGGGCAAAAGUUGCAGCCUUUUUUCUAUUGCCUGCCAAAUUGGAUGUUUUAAAAGAACGUGUGCCAUGAAAGAUAGAUUUCAAUGAAUUUUUACAACUAUGUUAAUGCAAAGAACAAAACAGCAACACUACGAAAGCAAAAUCUGAGUUAAGAUUACCUUAACCAUAUUUAAAUUUUCUUAAAAGAUUACACGAGAACAAGGUACAUGCAUUAUGUGUCACAUUACUGGGCAAACUGUUCAAAUAUUUUUUUAAACCUCCCUGUAUAGAAAAAUUUCAUUAAGGAUGUAAAAGCCAUGCUUGCCUAUUUGCUGUAUACAUGUAAUGAAAUUGUAGAUAAAGUGUAGUGCAUUGAAACAAAAUGAACAAAAAAGUAGAUACUUUUACUAUACAAGGGUGCUGGUGCAGAAAAAAUAUAUUUUUGGAAAUGUAGCAUUUUAUACUUUCAAGUGUUAUAAAAAAAGAAAAAAAGAACAAAGAAGAAACCCUUUAUUUCAUUAAAUAAUUUUUUCUGGUGGUUGUCAAGAAACAAAUGACCAAAAGAGCCUUUUUGUCUUUCUUUUUUAUUUUUUAAGUAUUGGAAUAAGUCUAAAGAAAAGGAAGUGCCUUAUUUUCUUCAUGGUCAUUUAGUCAAAUGUCUCGUAUAAUCCGCUCCUCCCUCAAACAACAAGUUAAUGCAUGCCACUUAGUCGCCCAGUAUGUGAAAAGAAGCUGGGAAAGGAAGACAAAUGAGUUGACCAUUUGAAAUACCUGAUUUUUGCCAUAUUAGCAUGAAGCAACUUUGCCAAAUCUUAUAAUGUGAAACAUGUGAUUAUUUUUCUAUCAGUUGAUAGCCCUCAUUAGUCUUGCAACAUUUUUACCAUCUCAAACCAUAGGUAAUGUAUGUUGUAUUUUGUAUACUUGCUCAAUCUAAACCAAAGCGUUUUGAUUCAUUCUAAAUGAGAGCAUUAGCUGACAAAUAUUUAUAGGACAGCAAGUGCUCCAUUUUGUUCAGGGGUUAGCAUGGAGCUUUCUUCAUUUGAAAUAUUGACAAGUAUAGCAGACCUUAUACUUAUCCACGGAAUAAAGUUUGGUGGAUAAUUAAAUUGAACUCAUUUAACUAAUUUUAAGUUUGACCUAUGCAUGUCCCAAAAAAAUUUACUCUAAAGAAAAGCAGAAGGGACUCAUCAACUAUUUAAAAAUUCAUCUAACUGGACCAGCAUACGAGCUGAGACAUUAUUUUGAAUAGUGUUGAAUUAGAAAAUAUUGAGCAAGUAUCAGUUUGCUAAUGGCUCAGUAUUAGACUUGGCAAAUAUCAGGUGAUGAUUUAUUUCCCCUCUUGUCAACUUAUUCUCCUUCUGAAAACCUUCAUAGCUUCCAAAUCAAAGGUCAAUAGUAAGCUAAGAAAGAGGGCUUAUGGUUUAGGCACCUGUAUGGUGACCUCAUUAACAUCUUGUCUCACCUGGAAAUAAUUAUCAGUUUAUUUACUAUGCAAUAGACAUUCAACCUUUUGUAUUCAGCUAGCUUGUGUUUAUCAUGCCACCAGCUUUGUCUUCCUGUUACACAUACAAUUGUUUUGAUUUUACUUACAGUAUAUAUGCUGUGCCAUUUUGAUUUUUGUUUGUUUGGUUUAAUAAACCUGCGACACUCAAACAUUUGAAGAGAUUUGCUAAAACAAUACCAGUAUUUGAUCCAGAUUAAUCUCAACUAUGAUAAGCCUGGAGUUUUAGAUGUUUAUCAAAGGGAGGAAAGUAAGUGAACGAAAUAGAAGUGUGACUUUAAUAGUAAUGUUUGCUUUGAAUGAACAUACUUUUGAAAACAUAGUUGACAAAAUUUUGGAUCAAAUUUUUUAAAAAAGCAUGACUUUUGAAAUCUCUGAAUGCCUUGGUUCUCAGUAUUAUAAUUCUUUAUUGAAUUUUUCUUUAUUAAAAUAUGUAGUUUUAGGACUUCUUUCUGACAGUAUUAUGUAAUUUUUUUUUAGAGUGGGUAGAUGGGAGUGUCGCUUGUAUGUAACAGUACAGAUGACAUGUAUUUGUCUAUUCUUUAUUAUCUUAGUAGUUUCAUGCUGUGUAUGUACCAUAACCAACCUAUUGCCUAUGAGAAACAUGUAAGAUAAUGUAUUUACAGCCAUUGUUACAAGUUUAUAAUGUAUUUUUCUAUCUUGUUUUAUAUGUAUGUUAUAUAAAACAUUCAAUUUUUUUCCUGAUUGAGAAAAAAAGGAUACAAAAAUGCAAAACCCACAAUUUUGAUAACUGAAAAUUGCCAAUUGUUUUGCAGUACUUUAUUAUAUUGGGAGUGUUGUCUUUUUUGGGCUUUUAGUUAGCUACUGGAUGAAUACAUUAGACAUAUUUGGGUUUUAGUUGGGUUUUUACAUAGCUUGCAUUUUAAUUCUUUGGUUCUUUGCUGUUUCUAUUAACCCAUAGCAUUAUUUUAAUAAAUGUUAUAAUACCAACCUACUAACUCUGGACUAUGUCUGUUUAUUAACCAUUACAUGUUUAAUUAAAAUAAACAAACAAAGACAGAAGAAUGUAAAGUCUUGAGUUACUGGACUAACCCUGAAGAACGUGACCACAGAUAACACAUGACUUGUAUUUAUGUUGUUUGUCGGCUGACAUUCUGCACACUACUAUUAAAUUGGCUUUGGUCAUUCUGGCCUUUACCUUGGGGAUAGGUGCCAGUAGAGGUGGGAACAAAGUAGCGUUAUUUGAAGCAUUAUUCUUGUAGUCUUGCCACUUGCCUUUCAGCAUCUGCAUUACUAAUUUCACACGUUACUUUCUCUUUCUCUAAAAUAAUCACUGUCAGCUCACAGCAAAAGAGCAAAGAUGCCAGUAUAUUGGUAAAUCGUGAUGGUGUACCCAGAAAAACCAGUUUGAUUCUUUGUUGAACCAUUUUGAAGUCACAGUAAAUCUCAUUGAGAUUUGCCAUUUGUUAUUUAAAGCACCUGAUUCAUUAUCACAUCUUUUAACUGUCUUCUGUUUUUUUAUGAACACAUGUUACUACUGGACUAUACUUUUUGUGUCUCUAAAGCAAGGAACCUGCUUUUCUUCUGAAACGUCACAGAUUUUUCUGACAGAUUACUUUAUUUCCUACUUGAUAUACAGUUUUUACUUUUUUGUUUUGUUUUGUUUUGUUUUGUUUGUGGAGGUGUGUGGUUUUUUGUUUGUUUUUGGGGGUUUUUUUGUACUACUUCUGUAGUCUGUCAUUACAACCAAGCUCAGGGGAGAAUAACUUCUGAAAAGCCAAAGGUCGAGCUUGAUCAUUUCCUAAUGACUACAGUAGGGAUUAGCAAUCUUCAGCAUAUGGCCCUUCGUGUUAAGCUGCUGGCAGUAUGUCAGACAUUUUAUUUUGACUAUCCACAGGCACAGCCAUGUGUCACUUCCUGCAGCUCCCAUUGGCAGGGGAACAGCAAACCAUGGCCACUGGAAGCUGUGGGGGACCGUGCCUGCGCACAGCCAACAUAAAAUGCCUAUCAACCUAACAAUGGCUUAACCUGCUGGGCUGUGCACUGAAGGUUGCCAACCCCAGACUACAGAAAGUACAAAAUGCUAAGGCUGUUGCACUGUGCCUCUGAGAAAUAGCCUUUUCAAUACAAGGAUUCUUUACCUCUGAUCUUUAACCCUGUGGACGACUGUAGCAACAUGAAUACGGGGAAUGUAAGUGAUGAAAAUGCAGUAGUAAAUUUUUGGUUUUGAACUUCUAUGCAAAUUACUUAAAGAGAAACUUGAUUUUUUUUAAUUUCUACUAGUUUGUAGCAUGGAUAGGGCUCCCAUAUUUGUGAUCUUAAAUGUACAAUAAUUUCCAGCCGGUGUCUGGUGAGAUGCCUUAAUGCACAUCACUUAUUUCUCAGAUAUUGACAAUUUUUAUUUCUCUGAACUACCACACUACUUGUCUGGGAAUAAAAAUUCAGGGAGGGAAUAGCAUCUGUUCAAAACUGUGAGGUUUUUUCCAUUUGUUAUGAUAAGUUUUAAUUUACACAUCUGAGUCCUUGAUAAAGUUUUUAUUUUAAAAAGUGAAAAGUUCUCAGUUAUUUUCAAAGAUUUAUAUUCUAAUUUGUCCAUUAAUUUGUUAGGUAUUUUGAUAUGCAAUUAGAUUUGUUAAUAUCAUUUACACAUCUAUUUUAAUUUACAUAGCUGUACAAAUGAAACUGUAAAAUAGAGAAAAUAGAUAUUUCUAGAACAAAUUGCAUUUGUACAAAAAACUUUUUGAGCUGUUCUCUUCUUCUGCUAUAAAUACUUUGCUAUCCAAAAAUUGAUUGAGACAGUAUAAAAAGUUUUAAGUAAUAUAACAUCAUAGCUAUGAAUUUACAGUUUUAUAGAAAAUGCGUAACAUGUUUAAAUAGUAAAGGCAUUUAAACUUUGAGGUGCCUAAAAAUUUGUUUAUACCUUCCUGGGAAGGACUUGUUUUCAUGGUUUUCAUUAUUUUUUAUUAUCUAUGAACUACUGUCCUACUUUUCCCAUAGAGUGGGUAUUUUCAUCUCAUUCUCAUUUAUGUAUAGUAAUGAACAUUUGCUCAGCAGACAACAGGGUUUUUUAAAAAAACUAAAGGAAAAUAAACCUUAAUAGUACAAUAACUCUCUCUACACAAAUUAAUGUUACUAUUGAGCAUGAAUGUAUUCUUCAUGUAACCAAAAAUCUUGUCAACUAUAAAAAGGCAACUAUUUAAGAUGAAUUUCUGGUGCUUGAGCUUGAUAACUAUACUUCAGUGUUGCUAUAUUUAAGUUUUUUGUAUGUUUAAUUCUGGAGGGGCAAAAUGUCUCAGAUUUUGAAAAAGACAUGUAUUACAGCAAAGCUACUGCACUGCAGUUCUUUCCAAUAAAAUGGAAUCAAUUUAAGUACAUUUUUAUUUACAUUUAAUUUACAUUUUAUGCAACUGUAAACAGAAGUAUAACACAACCCUUAAAUACAAUACUUCAGAAAAUCAACCGCUUAGAAAAUAAUUUUACUGCGUAUCAAAUCAAAAUAUGUUUGAUAGUCCCCACACACUUACUUAAAAUAGCUUUUGUGGAUAUAGUUAACCAGUUUAAAUUACUAAUUGGUAUUUACAGUUAUAGUAUUUACUAAUAUACUAUUUGAACAGAUCUUUUAACAAGUUAAUAUGUAAAAAUCCACUUACACAUAACAAAACUGUUUAAUUUCCAAAUCACAUCUUUUUUUUCUAUGGGGACCACAGGCAAGUUUUCUGCAUUGCAGAAUGCUCUAGGAAGUGCACACAGUAAAGUAUGUUGCUACCCAAUAAAAGAGAAUGCAGAAAAAAUUCAACUCUGAAACUUCAUGUAUCUGGAUAAUUAAACAGGCACUCUAAAUGGCACAUUGUACAUAAUGAAGUCCUUGUACUUUUUUUGCAAACAUUCCUGAGGUGCAAGUGUGAAAUUGUACUUGGAAUGCGUAUUUUAUUUUAAUAAUAUUUGAUACAAAAAUACAUUUUGUUUAAUAAUAUUUUAAUGGAAUACUGUUUUUUCAACUAAGUAGACAAAUUAUUACAUGGACGUGGUAAUCAAUGUUGAAUCAAACUGGUUAACUGCAAUGCAUUGGUCUCUUUCCUAUGUGCCUGCUCACUAAUUGUUGUGGUAUAGUUCCACAUUGGAGUGGGUGUCAUAAACACCAGAUGAUUACUUGCUGAAUUAGUUUCUUGGUCCCAGCAAUUUUGGUGUCCAUUACUGAUGAUAGACUGCAUUGGAAACAAUUUGAAUAGCAGGGGCAAUUUGUAUCUGAAAAACUAUUAAAGAAGACUUAAUAGAAAUAUAUAUCCUUUCCAACUUGUAUUGUAGCAGUUUGUGUGAAACAAGGUUUUGUUUGUGCAAAAUAAUGUAUUUUUAGGGGAAAAUGGACAUUGCCAAAACACAUGUAAAUACCAACACCUAGUAUGACUGUACAUGAUGUGCAAUAAAAUAACUGGAAAAAAGUGCAUGUACUUUAUCCUCAAAAGCCAGUUGGAAGCUAUCAAUGCUGCAACUAUAGUAUUAUUUUUCUGAAAAGUCACAUUUUAUUCUGUAUCUAAACAGCAGAAUAAAGAAUUUACAUUUUUCACACUUACUGUUCAUUAAUACUUUUAGAAAUGGUGCUUUUUGAAGUGAUUUAAAAUUUUGUCAUGAUUUGACUGCCUGAAAAUCACCUUUUUUGAAGAAUUAUUGUUGUAUUGCUUUGGUUACAACUAGAGGCAAGAAAAAGUUAAUGAGCACACAUUAUAUGCUUACUGCAUUCAUGCAACACCACAUCUGAAUUUGGAUUUGCAAGCACUCUAAAAUUAUGAGCAGCUUGGAUUCUUCCAAAUUAUUAAAAGAUUAUAGUUGCUUGAAUAUGGUAGUUUCUGAACCGUUAGUCAACGUAAAAGGGGACAGGCCAAUAUUAUUUAACUCCUACCACUAUGAAGUUAUAGCUCUGUAUAAUGACCAUAUACACUUAAAGGAAUGAUUUAUCACACUGGCAUCUAAAAAAUAUAUUUCUCACCAAAAAGGUCUCUGUCUUAAUAUUUUUCACUGAGUACAUCUACAAUCAUUUGAGUACAGUAUGAAAUGUGUAUAUUUGUGUAAAGGAAAAGCUGGUUCGGUACAACACCCAGGUUUUAUCUUAAACUUAAAACACGAGAGCUGCACAUCAGUCGUGCUUCAAUGUAGACCAUACCUACACCAGUAAGAGGGGUUCUCUGAUCUGUGCAGAUAAUCCACCUCCAAUAGAGGCAAUAGAAGAAUUCUUCCAUCGACUUAAUGGUGUCUACAGUGGAAGUUAGGGCAGCUCAUCUCCAUUCUGGUGUGGAUAUUUCAUACCCGUCUGGGAUGUAAUUAAAUCACCUUAAUUUUCUAAAGUAGACUAGGAUUCAGUUGGUGAAAUUGUGGUGCCCUGCCAAGAGGGGCAGCAUGAACUCACAACCAAGAGGGAUGUGGAAGAUAAAGGUGGUACCUCUCUGCUCUGUAGAUACCAGGUUGUUCCAGGAUCUGGAAAAGAUAAUGCCAACUACUAAGAUAGACCUGGGAUCAUGUCUUUAAAUCCUGUAAUGCUGCAGGCUUGCCCCUUCCUUAAGCCUGUGAGGCAACUUAGAGGCCAUCUCCUUUAGCUCCUACACAGAAGGAAUCCCUUGGGAAAUGCAUCAUUUUGGAUGGUCGUAGAUGCAGUAAGAAGUACUUAGAGUAGCAGCAUUUUGCUGUUUUAGGCUGUCCAAUAAAACUGAACAUGGAAGUUGAUGAGUGGAACGUAACUACCAAUAUAUUUUAUUGUACUGACUAGGAACAGUACUGUAUCAGUAAACCUCUGUCUCCUUUUAUUAGUGUUUUGGUAACUACACACAGUGCUGACCUAAUUCACUUUUCUGGAGUACUUCUGAAUACUGAAAGGAAUAAAGUUGUUAUAACUAUCUUGAUGGCUAAAAUAAUACUUGAAUCAUUUUCUGUGCGAAAUAAAGUGAAGCAUAAUGCCCCCCUUCUCAGUAAUCACUGCUUGUCAGAGAUGAGUGCCCUUCACUUUUUGCUGCUCUGGACUGCCAGGAAGAAGCACAAAGAACAAUUGUCCAUUUCCUUGUCAAUAUCUUCCCCAUAAGCUCAAAUAGUCAAGUGUGCUGCUGUUCUCUAUUGAGAUCUGUCUUCAUUAUGACAAAUGACAAGUUUGUGAGCCCCCCAAAAUCAUGCAAUUUCCUUAAAAAUCAUCAUGUAUUUUUAAAUUAUAUGGUUUGUGUUCUUUUUAUUUGCUUAGAUGUCUUUGAGGCUUUUUGGUUCACAUUUGAAGUUUCUUUGCUGCAGCCACAAAGAAAUUAAACCCAAAUAUAAAGUAGCAAGCUAAUAUUUCUACAAUACUUCAUAACUACAGGAGAAACAGCAGCUUCAAGAAAAUCAUCAGAUAUUUUGAAACUAAAAUUGAGACUUGUCAAUGCUUUGCUUUCAGGAGCUUGUCAGUAAGUGAAGAUUCACCUUUU